CCGUAGGGUGAACCUGCGGAGGGAUCAUUACCGAGUUUACAACUCCCAAACCCCUGUGAACAUACCUUAUGUUGCCUCGGCGGAUCAGCCCGCGCCCCGUAAAAAGGGACGGCCCGCCGCAGGAACCCUAAACUCUGUUUUUAGUGGAACUUCUGAGUAUAAAAAACAAAUAAAUCAAAACUUUCAACAACGGAUCUCUUGGUUCUGGCAUCGAUGAAGAACGCAGCAAAAUGCGAUAAGUAAUGUGAAUUGCAGAAUUCAGUGAAUCAUCGAAUCUUUGAACGCACAUUGCGCCCGCCAGUAUUCUGGCGGGCAUGCCUGUUCGAGCGUCAUUUCAACCCUCAAGCCCAGCUUGGUGUUGGGAGCUGCAGUCCUGCUGCACUCCCCAAAUACAUUGGCGGUCACGUCGAGCUUCCAUAGCGUAGUAAUUUACACAUCGUUACUGGUAAUCGUCGCGGCCACGCCGUUAAACCCCAACUUCUGAAUGUUGACCUCGGAUCAGGUAGGAAUACCCGCUGAACUUAAGCAUAUCAAUAAGCGGAGG
rnacentral:rRNA from 1 species